rnacentral:siRNA from 1 species
UUUAAAUGGGUCAGGCUUUAAAU